GGAGGCGCUACGGCGAGGCUCCA
rnacentral:misc_RNA from 1 species